AAUGAAGAGGUUCCUCGUGUACUUUGUACUUUGCACAGUAAUUAAGGAGUGUGUGAAGUCAAGUUCAAGGGCUUCUGAUUUGAACAGGCAGGUUUGUGUCUGUGCCCCUGCCCCACCUGAUGCCCCUCCGAAUGCGGAGAAGUUUCAGCUCUUUCUCUCUUUCCCCCGUUCUCUCUGUCCUUGUCUCUACAUCAUCUCUCUUUACCUCCGACCCCCACUCACCCCUCCCUUCCCAUUCGCACCCUUUAUUCCAGACACCUUCUCCCCUCCCUGUUCAUCACACAUCCCUCUCUAUCAUCCCUCUCUCCCUUCUUCCGUCCCUGUUCAUCACACAUCCCUCUCUCUAGCCCACUUUCUUGUCCUCCUCACACAUCCCUUCCCCCACACCUUCUCUCUCUCUCUCGUUUUCUCUCGCUUUCUCUAUCACUCUUUCUCAGUUUUGAUCCAUAUUUCACACGCCAGUCAGCCUUCUCCUCCCCUGUUUCAUUGCCUCACCACUUUUCCUUCCUCUCUCUGUUCCUCCCUCGCCUUGUCGCUCCACUCAUCCGUCCCUGCGCCUUUCAUUCAUCCUUUGUUUUUUAUCCCCCGCUCCUCUCUCUGGUCACGCAUAGUUUUAUCUUCCCCGAAGCUCCUGUAUCAUCUCUGCGUCUCCUCCCUAUUAAGCGGUGUCGACGCCGGGUUCUUUUUUUUUUUUUUUUUUUACAAUUCUUCUCUUUAGGGUUAUUACUCUGUCGUUCCAUCUUUCUAUCACUCACAAAACCCAGCCUCUCUUUGUUUCUCUCUCUUUCUCUCCCUCUCCAUCGCCUCUGUCAUUCCAUCUUUUUAUCACUCACUCUCUCUUUGUUUCUCUCUCUUUCUCUCCCUCUCCAUCGGCUCUGUCGUUCCAUCUUUCCAUCACUCUCUCUUUGUUUCUCUCUCUUUCUCUCCCUCUCCAUCGGCUCUGUCGUUCCAUCUUUCUAUCAGUCACAAAACCCAGUCUCUCUAUCUCUUUCUCUCUCUUUCUCUCCCCCUCCAUUGCCUCUGUGGUAAUUGCUUGUGUGAUCCAUGGAAUAUGUCCUCUGUUU
ensembl:lncRNA